rfam:Triticum aestivum genome assembly, contig: Triticum_aestivum_CS42_TGACv1_scaffold_051147_1BS
AUAAUACUCCCUCCGUCCGAAAUUACUUGUCAUCAAAAUGGAUGUGUCUAGAACUAAAAUACAUCUAGAUACAUCCAUUUCAAUGACAAGUAUUUUCGGACGGAGGGAGUAGUAG